rnacentral:rRNA from 1 species
UACGUAGGGCGCAAGCGUUGUCCGGAAUUAUUGGGCGUAAAGAGCUCGUAGGCGGCUUGUCACGUCGGUUGUGAAAGCCCGGGGCUUAACCCCGGGUCUGCAGUCGAUACGGGCUAGCUAGAGUGUGGUAGGGGAGAUCGGAAUUCCUGGUGUAGCGGUGAAAUGCGCAGAUAUCAGGAGGAACACCGGUGGCGAAGGCGGAUCUCUGGGCCAUUACUGACGCUGAGGAGCGAAAGCUAGGGGAGCAAACGGG